GAGGAGAGGCGGCGGGCGGGUGGGCGUGAAGCCGUUCCCCUCUCCGCCGGGAAAGCGCAGCCGGAGGGUGACUUCAGGAGCCCCCUCGGGGAGGCAGGCAGCGCGGUUUUCAGGUGACCUGCACAUGGGAAGAAAAGCCGGUUAGCAUCCUGCGUCCUCUACUCUCCAUUCCAGCCGCCUGGAGAACAAAUCCAUUAUGCAUCAUUUUCUCCGGGCGCUUUCUCCAUGCGCCAAUUACGGGGGGAUUUAACAGCUUAGAGUAAAAUGCGCCCGAGUGUGGCCCUGAUCCGCGCCACGGCUGCAGGGGGAAUAUUCCCUCUCCCUAUCCCAGUAGCCAUCUUUCGGCUUCUGGGAUAAAGUUACUCGGUACCUGGAGAGCAGCUGCGAGUUUGUAUAGUUCUGCUACCCAUGCUUAGACCUCGAUUCCCCACCGUGGUCUCUCGCCCACAAGGGGGUUGCAGCAUUUUGCACUAUGUACAUCUCUUUCAUUUGACUUCCGAAGGGGGUAUUAGUGCUCAAACGGCCCAGGGGUGCAUAACGUAUCAGAGGAAACAGCUUGUAAUGACUCAGCACUGUCAAAUACCUACUUUGUCGCUUGGUCCUGCCCCGCGCAGGUGGUCCCAGCUUGAGUUAGAGAGGUGCACUUCUAGACCCAAGUACAGCCCUGCCUACGCAGGAGAAGUUUUUUUUUUUUUUUUCAGAGUGUAUAGUGUUAAAUCAUUACUUGGUGAUUGACCUGCAACUGGAAUCAAAUGUCAAAGACUUUGAGCGUUAGUGAACAAGUUUGACGGAGAUAGAAUUGGACAAGAUUUUGGCUGUUGGAUAACCGCAUCCACAGAUAGAAUUGUGCUCUACUUGAUGUACCAGUAAAUCCCUCCUUCCUGGCCUUGGGGUACAGUUAAUGAGGGCCAGACUGCUGGGACAGGGCACCAUUCAUAAAUGGUCUCCAAAGACUCGGGGGCUUGCUGCCAGAGGGAACUACGGGCAGGUUUGGUCUCCAGUGGGGGGUAAAGUCAAUUUUGGGGUUAUGACAGAGGGUUGUUCAAGCUCAUCUCUCUCUUCCUGGGGUGACAGACUUACUGGGCUUCUGAAAAUCAAAUGCAUUUCCUUUGCUCCUUGUGAGAUGAAAGUGUUUUAAAUCCCUGUCUCUGUGUAUCCCUGACUUUUAUGCUGCAGGUGAACCCUGUAGCCAAAAGCACAUUUUCUUUUCUGUGUGGAUUUCUGUUCUAUAAAAUGCACUUUUCUCUGUAGUUACAGUACAGACAGUACCUGUGGCCCGUGGAGUUUUGAGGUAGGAAUCACUGUUUCUUAGUGGGGGGGGGGGGGGUCCGUUUAUCACACCUUUUAUGGAGGGUAUUUGACUGUUAAGAUCUUAAAAUAGGUACAUGUAUUACCAAGGUGCAAAUGUAUAUUAACAAAAUAUUUGGGGGCCUGUACUGGGAGCAUAUGCAAAGUAUGUACUACCUAAGCGGGUCUGUGUUUCAGGAGGGAGGUAGUAUAUCAACGCUGCCUUCAGUUUAACAGUUUGUUAGUCUGAGACCCGUUUUGUUCAGUAGAGUGCAUCAGUCACGUGUGGCGAACAGCCCAGAACUUUUCACACCAUGAAUUAUAAAGGCACAGGCUUAGUUUUAGCUUGCAACGAUCUAAGGCUCUUAGAAAGGAAUGAGGCUGGGCUUCAACCAGAUGAGUAGCCUAAGCUCCUUUAGAAAGUUAAGAAGCAGAGGCUGAUGGCCAGGUGGAUAUAUAGAGGCAGGGCUGGCACCAGGAGAUAGAACAUUGACUUGGAUCCCAGAAUAGGCGAGUGGCAGGCAGAGGAGGAAGUCAGUCCACAUUUGGGGGCGAGGGAGGGCUGGCAAUUUCAGCCUGGGCCAAUAGAAAGGCUAGUUCAGAGGGGUAGGGUAAUAGGAGUCAACAGGUGACCAGCAGAAAGGAGAUGGAGGCCCAGGAGAGGACAGGCCUAGGAAGUGGAAUUCAUUUUGAUCACUAGGAGUGGAGGCACAAGGUUCUCAGGGCUCGGCCUUGCCCGGCCGCUGUGGACUCCAUUGCCAUCCGAACCUCGUGAAAAUAAAUAGUUGGCUUGCCAGGCUUGACCGGAUCCUCUUGCUGUGGGUUUUGCUCUUCUGGGCCCCUGGGGGGUUUUCUGUUCCUCUGUUAUUUUGGAGGUGGAAUGAAAAGUCUGUUAUUCCUUCAGCUGUGUGAGACUGCUUUAUGGUUAACUUGGGAACCAAGCAUUGUAGGAUGUUUGCAGGAGAAGCAGAUUUCUCCCUGUUAAUUCAUCAUGGCUUUCUUAAGGAACCCGAGAGCUUGCUUUUGUAGGUGAUCACACACACAGGGUUGGUGUGCAAGGUGUGUGUUAUAUAUGAUCUUUGCGUUGGCAAUCAGCCUGUCCCUCUGAUGAAGCAUUUUCAGAUACCUGAGGAAGGGCACACCUUGGGACGCUGCCAACAAUGCUUGCUUUGGUCGGGGGCGGGUGGUGAUCGAAAGUUCUGUGCCCAGUGACGUUAUUUCCUAUUUGAUCCCCCAGUAGUCCACCUUCUUAUUUUGUCUUCCCAGAUGCCUUUUUUUUUUUUUUUUUUGACAUUCGGAGGCUUCAUUUCAUUUCUCCGUUUACUUUCUGAGAUUGCCCAGUGUCUUCAGUGACACCGGUGUGGGCUUCUCAACGGCGGAGCUGAAGGAGGAAGUUGCCUGUGAUUUGAGAAGCAACUUUGAAAAGCAGGCAGGACUGUGUGUGUGUGUGUGUGUGCGCGCGUGCGCGCCUUCCCUCAAGAACCUGCCUAGGGAGGAAACUCAAGGGAGACUUGUAUAUGAGACAAACACUAAUUGUUAAGCUAGGCAGGGGACCAGCAGCUUUUUGCCUGGGUGUGGGGGGUCUCCCAGGGGAAUGCAGAAGGCUUUUGAACCCCGAUACCCAGGCUCUGUGAUCCUAGAGAUAAGGUAAUGUGCCACCCCAGGCCCGCUGUGGAUUCUGAAAUCUGUUACACUUGCAAGUGCUUGAACUGGAAAUCAUGCUCCAGAUCAGCCAACAGUCCCAGGAAUGUUCUCUCCUAGUCACUGAAACGGCCUGACUGGCCACAGGAUAUUUUUUGGAGCAGAAGAAGAGAGACCCAUCCAGUUGGGUCAAGAGUGCAAUUUUCCUUGACUUGGGUCUUUGCUUCUGGUCGUUCCAGUCUGAACUGACCUACUUGCAAGGAUGUGACAUCUGCUAACAUCUCAGGCCCUUUGGAGAAGGCGUAGGCAUGUGGGAACUGCUCGGAGAGAAAGUCAGUGUGUGUGCGCGUCCUGGUGAUGCAUGGAGACCCACUCAGGUGUUUCCAGCCAUUCGUGGAGGGUAGCCCUGCGUAUAGAGGUUCGCAUACAUUCUCAAAUUUCUGGGGACUGGAAUAGAUAAGGCUGCGUGAAGGAAAUGAAAGCCCCUGACACCCCUGGGCAGUUGUGAUCGAGGCUCCCUUACAAAGGCAUUUGAAUUUCUUCAGGAUGAAAACUUAAGGCGGUGGCUGGAGGAGUCUCCAGCCAGGGUGGGGUGCUCAGGCGGGGCCUCUGACCCAGGGGUGGGCAUUUGCCUGUUGAGAGUUUUGCAUACACUGAGUCUGAGGUUGUGCUGAUGACAUAAUGAGCUGGAUGAAUGAGUGCAUGUCACAAAGCUGAUUGAUGGUCCCUUUUUAAAAAUUUUGGGCCCCGAGAGCAUUGCAUGGCUUGAGUUACUGGUAAGGUGAAACUGCAGGAUUUGUUAGUCUUUCUUCUUCUUCUCCUUCUCCUCCUCCCCCUCCCCCUCCUUCUCCUCCUCCUUUUUUUUUUUUUUUUUUAAAAUCCCAAAAGAAGCAUCAUUUUGAAGAUGGGUAUUUGCCUCUUUUCCCCAGAAGCAGACAGCUGAGAGACAUUUUUAAAGUCCUUGUCAAAUUAGUAUGAUGACUAAGGCAACUGUGUUUUACUUAAUCAAAUUAUUUUACACACUUACGGUUGCUCAAAGUGACAAAUUCCCUGCCAUUUGCAUAAUUACUGGAUAGCCCCAGGUAGUAAGAAAUAAAAUUACCCUGAUUUUUUUUUCCUUGCUGUUUGGUUGCAAAUGUUUAGCUAAUAAUUAUUUAGGGGAAAAAAUGAUCUCUGAAAAUUCCUUUCAACCAGCUUUGUGUACACAGCUUAGUUUCUGUAGGGGUUUUCUCUUGUGUGUUUAACAGUCCAAGAAAGUGAAUCAGUUGUGAAGUGAGCUCCAUCUCUUUUCCUGAAUUUUGUAACUCUCCCACAUUUCCAUUUUAGAUUCCUUACAAAGAGGAUGACCCAGAGGCCUCUCCGCAGAGGCACUGCCUUGCUAAUCAGAUGCCCAGCAUUUAAACUCAUCUCCUUGCCUGCUGCUGGAAUGGCAGUAUUGCUGACUGGUUAAAACUCCAGAUGACAUGGUGAAAACUCCCAGACGGAGACCGACAGCACCUGUGACAGUUGUGACUCAAUGGGGUGAGCUUUAGAAGACCUGGGGUUCACUCCCACGUUCUCCCCUUCUCAGCUCUGUGUUCUCAGGCUGAUUACUCAACCUCUCUGUGCAUUGGUUUUUCAUUUUAAAACUGGGAUCAUAAUAGUACCUAGCCUCAUAAUGAUUCUGUGAGGACUCACGGAGUUGGUACUUAUAAAGCACUUUGAAUGCUAGCUGGCACAUAGGGCUCGACAUAGACAAGCUAUUAAUAAUGACAUGGUUAUAUAUAUUGACUGCAGACACUCAGUUUGUAGCCCCAACAAAUGAGAAAUAAAAUUAUUUCAAUCAAGUGUUGAUUUGGGUGUAGUGAAUUGUACAUCAAGUAGUUCCCUAUUCUGCAUGAACGUUUUGUCUGGGAGGUAAAAGGUUUUUGGUAGUAAAUACCGGUACCAGUUGCUAAUUCUGUUUAUUCCCUUAUUAUAAAUAUAGCAAUCCGUUUUAUCUUAAAGACACUAUAAAAGUUACCAGUCAUGUGGGGGAGGAGCCUACUCUAGUAAUGCUUAUGCUGAGCAUUUAUAGUCAGUGGGUACUUUGAGGUGGGUGGAGCAGGGAUGGUGCUCGCGCGGCUGGGAGGGACAGGUGCCCUGAUGCCUCGCUUUGGGAGGCCCUAUUAUCUGUCGCUCUGGUCUGUGGCCACAGGAUGGGGAAUACUUGACAGUCUUCUACAUUGUACGCAGCCGAGGAGCAGUGAAAAGAGUUUUGGAUUUGGAGUCAGAAGACCUGCAUUUGAACCUGGACCUUCUACUUCCCAGCUCCUGGUGACUUGACUUAACCUGAACCCCAGUAUCCUCAUCUGAAAAACGGGGCCUGUCUUACCAAUGGUUGGGAGAUUUAAAUAAAUGGACGCGUGAUACAGUGUUUCUCAUAGGGUAUAGGAUUCGGUACUUGCUUUAACACUAACGACAUAACCCUACUUGUUGACCUUGGCACAACAGAAGUCCUUCCAGGGGCCUGAGGAUUUGCUUCCUAAAUUGGAGAUCUGGGCCCUUGUAGCUUUCUCUGCGACUCUGGGUGAAGGGUGGCCACUUCAAGGCAGCCUGGGGUGUCAGGAGGGGGUAUCAGGGGACAUCUGUUAAUGCACAUUUGCUGCCCUCUGGGCAGCCUUGUUUAAGAUGAGCAACCUUGGGGCUCAGUCCUGGUUGCCUGGGGGGCUCAGGGCUCAUGCCACACCCACCUCCUCCUCAGCAGGCACAAUUGUGGGCAUUUUCCUCCUCUUGAUCCUUUUUUGUUUUUCAGAAGCCGAGUGAAUGAGCUCUUGAUAAGAGUGUCGUUUCUCAUCCCCUGGAUUCAUUCCCCUUAGCUCAUGAUGAUCGUUUAGGGGGGACACCUUUGCACGAUGCCGCUCACCUUUCCUCCCCAGGUCUGGUCACCUCUGUCCUUGGGAAGGAUAAGGAAUGAACCACGCUCUUCUCAGUGAAUCAAGUUGGCAGUGGCUAUUUUAGCGUUGGGUUUUGUUGAAAUCCUUGCCAUGGGCACACUGUGAAUCCUGGAAACAAGCAGGUGUCCCCAGGAUGUGGCAGCAGGUGUGAGUUACUGUGCAGGAGAACGAGUCCAUUCUUCGUGCAUCUAUCUGUCCAUCCGUCCACACUCCCUACGUGAGUUCUGUACAACGUGCUGGCAGAUUCUAAUUUGUCUGGCAGGUUGCCCUUUGGGACGGGUCUCCGGAUAACGAACCUGGCUGUCCAGGUGACCCCGGGCACUUUUUGUUGGUAGGUCUAAAGCCCUUUGUGGCUCUCAGUUCAUAGCUACCUGAGCUCCUGAUUGUGCAGAGUUAGCAGAAAUAGGAAGGAGCCGAGAGCAGGCUUUCAACAAAUAGUCCUGGGGAAUAUAAUAGACUAUUAGGCAAACUCCUCCCUCAAUCCCUGCCCACACAACUACAGGAACUUAAGCAAGAGAGAAAUGAUUAUUUUUACCUCCAUUUCUCCACUGGCAAGGUCGAUGUAGGGAGAACAGUGUCACAAUGGUGCUUUUCAAUUAAAGACUAUUGUACAAUGUUCUUGGGAAUGGCUAUUGUCUUCCCCUUCUCCCCCCUUUGGAAAAGGCUUAUGUAAAACAGGCACGCUCCUCUAAUUGUUGGAUUUGCUCCCCCAUCCUGACACUGCUGCUUUCCCAUCUUGGGCUGAUUAGAAUGAGAAAUUACCACCUUGAAUAUAAGCAAGUUGAAAUUGGAAAGCUGCCCUCUGACUGAUUACAUAAGCUUUCAACUACUGUACCUGAAAUCUCAUGUUUACCUUGCUGAGAAUUCUCUUAAUGAAGAUACACAUUUCUAAGCAGCACGGACGCAUAUGUUUUUAUUAUGUAAGCUUCAAUUAUUGUGAUGCAACCUGUGGGAAAAAAAGAAUGGCGUUGAUGAGCUCAACUCUCCGUUGGCUUUUUGGGUCAGAGAAUGAUUGGAAGUAGACCCACAGAGCCCCCUAGAGACUCCCCCCUCCCCGGAACUUUGGACCACCUGAUGCUUCAGCACCAGCACCUUCUCCCCGGGGAUGUACAGGUACACCCUGGGUCUGUGGUCCCCGCCACUCUCAAGGUCGCAGAGGGCAGGUGUCCGUGAAGGCUUGAGAGUGCUCAUGCGAUUCAGCGGCAUGUCCGUGGAAUACAGCCACAGUCGGUUGCGAUGGGCUUCGCGGUUUGGCCUUUUUGUUUCCGAAAGUGCUGCUGGGAUGGCCUUUGGGAUGGACUCUGUCUUGUUUUGUGUAACGUGCUGGUGUCUCCUUGUGGCUCAUCGCACUAUCUUCUCCUCAACGCCAUAACUUCCGUGAGGUGCACAAAGUGGCACGCUACGUGGUCCAUUCCAGAUUUCCAGCCUCCUGAACUGUAGACAGCAGCUUGUUUUGUGGCUGGGGUGGGGCGCUGGGAGAAAAGACUGAAAGUAAACUAGACCAGUUGAAACAGAUCUAGGAGAGUGGCAGAUAGGCCUCCACUGUCAUUAUGCAAAACAUUGAGGGCCAGACGCACAAUUUAUUGUAUGAUUUAUUGCCGGGCACUGGGUGCUGCCUCCUCCCCAGUGUGGUAAAUACUGUGUCGGCUGGGAGGCUUAACGUGCCAACAGCAGUUUUCCCGUCAGCCGAAGGGAGGAUAUCUUUUGGAGACAAAAACCAUAAAUUAGCACCUUCGCUUUACCUUGGCCAACCCGUGGAGGUGCAUAUAAAUCGAAAAGUCUGCAAGCAGUUUUGCAGCUUUGCCGUUGGCGGUGAAGGGGAGCCGGUGGGGAGGUCCUCCUUGCUGCAUGCAGCUCAGAGUGGUGUGGGGAUCCAGCAGCCCCGUGAGCCUUCUGAGAUGCAUAGGUGGAACGGAUUGUCCAAUCAACAUACCGUCCCUCUGUCCCAACGUUGGCAUGGCUUGUAUUCUUAGGUGUCUUUAAAAAUAACAUCGCCCAAACUCUGCCCCUGUUGCUUUCAUCUUAGGCAAAAUCAGGGCACAGGAGUAAGUAAUUUCCCCAAAUGUGCAGUCCCACUCUCCAGAGUUAGCCCACAGUAGCCAGCAGGGGUGAGCAGGUGAGCAGUCCAGAAGAGUUUUAUUUUUGGAGAUAAUGAUUAUAAACACAUAUAAAUAAAAAUAAUGUUUUGGUGACUGCAGGGGAAAAAUCAUUUAUUUCUGUCUUUUAAAAUAUUCCUCCUCUUUUUUUUUUCUUUUUUAAACAGACUCUGUUUCCUAAAAGGCAUCAUACCUAUUCUUAAUCGGGUGAACAGAUAAAAAUACAUACGUCUGUAUUUCUCUGUCUUCUGAUACUUCCAGUUUCACUGGGAAACGCUUUUGUCACUUAAGUACCAAAGCAGCCAUUAAAAACACGGCGAGGGCUCCUGGUAGCCAAGGCUGUCAGGGAGACCAUUCGGUGUGACAAGGGACACAUUUUAGAUCCUCCAAAAGGAAGCCGAGUGUUCUUGUGUUCAGGUCUGUCGCCUCUGUGACUGCUUUUCUCUUUGGGCCAACGGAGCUGAGCUCUCUGGUGGUCACGGUGGUCAGCUCAGCUCUUUCGCCUCCUGGUUGGUCAUUGAUUUUCUUCUUGCCUCCCUAGGCUGGCCCCUGACUCCACCGGGGCCAUGCUUCGCCAACCCUGGCAGGGUAUCAUGGUCAGAGCUGCGAGACCUCUGUCAGGGUGUGCUCCCCGAAGUCAAAACCCGGGUCAUUCCCAAGUAGGACUCUUGUGCCGAGUUUAUGCCAUGGACACUGUCUAUACCCUUCUAUGAGUGCCUUCCUUUGUUGGCUUCCCUCCAUCCUCAUUCAGGGGGUGAUGCAGCUGAGCUCUCCGCCCCCUACAGGCUAGAGAGAUCCAGUCCCACCUGUGACCAUGGGCUGUAUGUUAAUUCCUGCCCUCCUGGACCCUGUUGUAUUUUAUUUGGGAGUGGGGUCUUCACAUCCUAUUUAAACAUUUUCCUUCUUUGGAAUUCAGAGGGCUGUAGGGGCAUUGUCAAACAUUUUCUGUAUCUCAGAUGUGAGACCAAAAUUGGGUUAUUUUUUCUCCCUUAGAUAUAGAAAGGUGUGACGUGAGGUUCAGAGACAGUGACUUGGACUGUUUAUCCUUUGGUUGGAGGUGGACUUGGACCCAGGGGUGGGAAGGUGGAUGAUAGGAAUGUGUUUCCAAAGGAAGAAAUGGGAUGUGUUGGUUUCCUGGGGCUCUGAUGAGAUGGAUGACCACAGACUGGGUGGCUUAGAACAAUAGAUUUAUCUUCUGGCAGUCCUGCUGGCCAGGAGUCUGAAAUCAGGGUGUUAGCAGAGCUAUGCUUCUUCUGAGACUCUGGGUAGAAUCCUUUCUUGCUUUUUUGUAGCUUCUGAUGGUGGCCUUUCAUCUUUGAUGUUCUUAGGUAGACUUUGCACCGCUCCCAUAUGUGACUCUGAGAUCACAGGGCAUUUUCCUUCUGUGUCUCUCUCCUCCUGUUAGAAGGACAUCAUUCAUAUUGGGUUAGGGCCUACCCUAAUGACCUUAUCUUACCUUAACUAUAUCUGCUAAGACCUUGUUGCAAAUAGGGUCACGUUCACAGAUACCAGGAAUUAGGACUUCAACACCAUCCUUUUGGGGGGACACAAUUCAACCCAUAAUACCAGGGGAGAAAAAGAGCAAAGGCCCCUAAAACGGUCUGAUGGUACAAAGAGGGAAAAAAAAAAGGAAAAGACAGAUUCUUUGCCCUCGUUAGGGUUUGGGGUUGGGUAGGAAGAUUAUGGGAUGUUGUUGGUCGGCUUGUCAUUCUUUGCAGAAAUUCUGCCCUGUGACAAUCCUUGCUUCCUUUCUCAACAAGUAAGGUGAUAACUAUGUUUCCAUCUGAGACGUGGUGGUUAGGCUGUGGGAGUGAGCCUGAUUGCAUUAAUGAAUAGCUUUGAACAAACCCUUUCCCAGUUCUGGGCAUAGCUGAGUGCAGGGAUUGGCCUGGAUGAGUACGGGAUCUGAUUAAGGGAAAUCCAUGUAAAAAAAACAAAAACAAAAACAAAAACCCUAGAAAUACACGUGGGUGAGCAUUAUGUGUGUAUAUAUUUAGAGUGUGUGUAGUAUAUCUCUCCCGCUCCUUCUACCCGGGACUCCUUAAUAGGAACCAGGCCCAGUAAAAUGUCCAGCUGGCCCUGUCCCCUCCCUGAAGUCCUGUCCGAUUCGGUGAGACUGGAAGAGAAUGUUAUCACUGUGCCAGCCAGCCCCAGAUUUGGCCAGGUACGUAUUACUUUAGGACCAGACACCUGCAUUCUAAUCUGAUUCAUUUCAUCUCCAUGUUCUUUUUGAUGGGGAGUUGCUCAGCAUUGGCUCCUUUUAAAAGACUUCAGCUUGGUCUCUGCCAAACUAAUUAACUUGGACAACUUCUUUAAGUGCCGUGAGCAACAUCGACUUCGGUAAGGCGUGUUCUUGGCCCUCACGGAGUUUAUAUAUCCUAGCGGGAGGGAUGGCAUGUUUAUAUUUUUCACUAAUGACUCAUUCAUUAGACUGUCUCAGGUGCUGGGCCAGGCAGCAGCUCUGUCCUCGGGGAACCCUGCAGCUGGUCCAGCCGUAUCCACUGUCCACGGGACCAUGAGGUCUCCACCGUAGAAGCCAAGUGUUGGGUCAAGGUGGGAGGCGGUGUUGGAGAUGGGCCUGGGGAGAAGAGGAGAAUGUUUAGGGUUGCAGAUGUAAAAUAAUUUUCCCAACCUUGGACAGAAUAGACCCAAGGGGAAUGAGAUGUCAGGCUAACGGGGCAAGUGUCUGGCUGGGAGAGCCUUCGUAGGUGGGAUGGGAAUGGGAAGCCUACGACGGAUAAGGGGCAGGCUGGGAACACAGGGCCACAGCCACAUACAGGGGCAUGUCAGGGCCAGCACUGGAAGGUGCGCUCUAGCCAGCAGUGCGGGGGCUGACGGCACCUCUCCUGGCAAGGCUUACAUCCCUCCCCCCCAGCUUUGAAGCGGUCCCCUAAAAUCCUGCUAGAGACCACUCUGCCAGCAUGUGGAAGGAAGCAGCAUUAGGGCAUCCUCAGACUUAGCUAUAAGUGAGUAUGGCUGCAUUGCAUGACAUAGACAAGGGGCUGAAGGACGCUGGUUUUCCCAGAAUGCUGUGCUCACCGGGAUGGGGGCAGUGGAGGUGGAGGGGGGCUGUAGCAUCCAUACACAAUGGCACCUCUGUGUUCAACCUCUUUUUUGAGUUCUCUUCAAAUGAGAUUUCUGCAAGAUGAGCUAAAAUUAGGAAAGGUCCUAUCGUGUUUGACUUUUUUUUUUUUUAAACCCUUUAGCUUGGCCUCAGAUGUAUCAGUUCUGGAUAACUUUAAAGCUGGUAUCAGGACAAACUGUGUUCACACACAGGAAAUGUCUCCAAACAGAAAGUGGGCGUGCAGUUUACAGUUUGAAAAUUGGAUGGAGGCCAUUCAAAAUUCCCCUCCUGUUCUCCUUGAGAAGGACUUGGCAAAAUGCUGAGAGGGGGCAUUCCUCCUUGGAAUAAUCAUGAGGGUCCAGAGGGAAACCAUCUUCUGAGCAGAGCUAACCAGCUACUGGGAUGCGGGGACCGGGAGGCUGGUGGGGCGUUUACUGAGCUGUGUGCCCUUUGACGUCACAUCCUGUAUAGAGGGCAUGUGGAGCCUGGCCAGAACGCCUCUGGCCCGUUGGCCCACACCUGUUGCCCACAGAUGGCCGAUCCAAACACGGGCUGAGACAGCUCAGGAACCCCGUGUGGCCUCAGCACUUGGCUCUACCGUUAACUUGAACUUCAAGUUCAUGCUUGUGGCUUUUGUCUUAAUAGAGGCCUUACUGUUUUACUUAUUACACAAGGACUACAUGUGUUGAAAAUUUGGAAAAUAUAAACACAGAUACAAUUUUAAAAAAGAAGCAUCAUCAUGUAUAAUGCCAGGACUUGGAGAUAUACUCUCAACAUUUUGGAACCCACGCUUUCAAUGUCUCUGGGUCAGCCCACGCUUUUUUGUGACUUUGAGGACAGAGUACAAGUGACCCUUAAACAACGUGGGGUUAAAGGGGCAUCAACAUGCACCUACCUCCCCCACUAUCAAAAACCUGUGUAUAACUCUUGACUCCCUCAGAACUUAACUACUCAUAGCCUACUGUUGACAGGAAGGAAGCCUACUGAUAACAUAAGACAGUUGGUUAACAUAUAUUUUGUAUGUUGUACGUAUUAUAUACUGUAUUCUUACAAGCAGGUAAGCUAGAGGAAAGAACAGGUUAUUAAGAAAAUCAUAAGGAGGGCGCCUGGGUGGCUCAGUCGGUUAAGCGACUGCCUUCGGCUCGGGUCAUGAUCCCGGAGUCCCGGGAUCGGGUCCCGCAUCGGGCUCCCUGCUCGGCAGGGAGUCUGCUUCUCCCUCUGACCCUCCUCCCUCUCAUGCUCUCUGUCUCUCAUUCUGUCUCAAAUAAAUAAAUAAAAUCUUUAAAAAAAAAAAAAAGAAAAAGAAAAUCAUAAGGAAGAGAAAAUACAUUUACAGUACUGUACUUUAUGGGAAAAAAAUCUGCAUAUAAGGGGCCCUGUGCAGUUCAGGUCCAUGUUGUUCAAGGGGCUCCUGUAGUAGAGGCUAUUGGCUCUGUGAAGUCCAUGUCUGCUGUGUGUUAAUCUUGUGUGUCUUUGGGCCAGUGACUUUACCUCUCCAUUGUAUCCCUAAGAUUGGCAUGGUGUUUAUACCUCCUUCAUACUAAAUGGGGUAAUCCAUUCAGAGUGUUUAAGCUGUGCCUCUGCAGUAUGUUACUCUUGUUACAUAUUAUUAUUAUCCUAUAAUAAAAUCAGAUCACACCGUACCUUCUGGUUAGGAACUUACUCUUUCCCCUAAACCACUGUGACUACUUUUCUGUAACGUCAGAUGUUCUUCUUUGGUGUCGUGGUUAUAAAGAAAAAUGACCCUACUGUUUCUAUAAAAACAAUACAUAUUCAUUAUGAAGAAUUUUAUUUAUUUAUUACUUUAUUUUAUUUUUAAAGAUUUUAUUUAUUUAUUUAUUGAGGACAUGAGUGGGGGAUGGGGCAGAGGGAGAGCAUCUCAAGCUGACUCCACGCUGAGCACAGAGCCGGAUGCAGGGCUCAGUCCCAGAACCCCGAGAUCAUGACCUGAGCCGAAAUCAAGAGUCAGAUGCUUAACUAACUAAGCCACCCAGGCACCCCCAUUAUGAAGAAUUA